UGUGUGUGUGUGUGUGUGUGUGGUUUGUGUGUACUGUUGGACCAUGGUUGUGCUACUCAGUAAAACUAUCUGUAGAACCAGAUCAACAUAUUCUCCACUCUUUGUAGCCAGCCUUGUACUACACAGAAAACCCACAGAGACCCCGCAUAAAAUCUGGCCACAUUGAGAGCAUAAAGAGCAUUAAAGUGUAAAAACUUUGCUUUGUUUUAGCACUCUAAAUUGUUGACAUCUGUUUUUGCUGUUCCUCCUUUGUUUUUCUUUUUCAAUGGAUAAUUAACUAAUGGCGAGAAUAUAAAGUCAUGUUUUUUUAUUUAAUUUUGGACAAUGCGUUUGGACUUGAAUCACCCCGUGUGGUCGCUUGAGUUUGGAGUUUGUGGUGAACGUUUGCCCGCAGUUUAAUGCAAAAAUACACCACGAACGCAUAACACUUUUCCUAGUUUCAUAUCCCCCUUUCUGUGCGUCUUUGCAGCCGAGCCUUCUCCCUCUUUUGUUCCCCCCUCCCUCUCUUUCUCUCCGUUGGCUGUGUGAAUGCUUUGGCAAGGCUACAAGAAAUCAAGCAAGCGAGAGCUGCUAGCACUGACGCGCCCCAGACACUAAGCCCUAGAAUUUAAUUUUUUCCUCUGAAAUGGUAGCACCGACGGUCCUCAAACUUCACAAUCUUCUAAGGGGACCCUAGGGCGAUGCACUGAUUUUUUUUGGGAUUUUUCCUGGCCCCCGAAAAUGUUCAUUUUAAUUGUAGAAACUGAUGCCCCGGGAAAAAGGCUACAACCCCUGCUUUUUAUGCCUACCAAGUUCCUCAGGCAGCCUCACUAGCUACAGCUAAGCAGAGGCUGCACACUGCACUGGACUGCUGGUCUGAAGGUGCAGGAGACAGACUACACUGGAAUAGGGGAGGCCGGCGGGUUACUUUGGGAAUACCAAGCACCUUUUCCUCUCCCCUGUUGCCUAACAUGCUGGAGAACGGGGAUCGAGGAUGGACCUGUGGUUGGCCGCUGUAAACCCGCAGUCACCACAACCUGAGAGGAUGGCACAGCAAUGACUUUAGGUGGGGCUGGGGGAGCCAUAGAAACCGCCACCUUCUUGCUACUCUUCUUUGGGGAAUCAGUGGCUUUCCCUUGCCUGUGUUUUCCUCCAUCAUCCUCCCACUGCAUCAAAUGGGUGAAGAUUUAUCUAAAGAUCUGUGCAGCGCUCCUGCUUGCUGUAAUGGUCGAACUGGCUCUUCCAGUGCAUCAUGUAGGAGCUCCAGCGAUGGAACUCCACUUUCCACUGCCUCUCAACAUCAUCAAUGUUGUCUGGUGUUGCCUGUUGUAUCAGUCAGCUGAAGAACAUAUGAAGUGUCCAAGUAAAACCUCACAGAAGCUACAAAGAUGCCUAAAUUGUACCUGGCGAUUCCAGUUCACAAGCCGGCUUUGCUUCAGCGCCUCUCCCCCAGGCUCUUCCCCUCCUCUGCCUGUCCUUGAAUGAAGAAAGCCAGAAUUGUUACCGUGCCGUAGGGCGAUAAGCAAAAGCAGGACAACUGGGCUGGGGGUAGCGUGAAGGGAGUGAAUUGAAGUCUCGCCUGUCUGAUUUUAACGCUGGAUCAAGCCUCUUAACGGAACUAGGAGAACAGCCGUAAUUUACUGCUGUGUC